rnacentral:rRNA from 1 species
GUGUCAGCCGCCGCGGUAAUACCAGCUCCUCGAGUGGUUGGGACGAUUAUUGGGUUUAAAGCGUUCGUAGCCGGUCGGAAAAGUCCUCCGUUAAAUCCAACGAUCCAAUCGUUGGGCUGCGGGGAAUACUCUUCGGCUUGGGGGCGGGGGAGGUCGACGGUAGUCCCGGGGUAGGGGCGAAAUCCUAUAAUCCCGGGAGGACCACCAGUGGCGUAGGCGGUCGACUAAAACGCGCCCGACGGUGAGGGACGAAAGCUGGGGGAGCGAACGGGAUUAGAUACCCCGGUAGUCCCAGCUGUAAACGAUGCAGGCUAGGUGUUGGGACGGCCACGAGCCGUCUCAGUGCCGCAGGGUAACCAUUAAGCCUGCCACCUGGGAAGUACGGCCGCAAGGCUGAGACUCAAAGGAAUUGACGGGG